rnacentral:rRNA from 1 species
AGCCUAUCUCAGUUCGGAUUGGAGGCUGAAACCCGCCUCCAUGAAGUUGGAUUCGCUAGUAAUCGCGCAUCAGCCAUGGCGCGGUGAAUACGUUCCCGGGCCUUGUACACACCGCCCGUCAAGCCAUGGGAGCUGGGGGUGCCUGAAGUUCGUGACCGCAAGGAUCGACCUAGGGCAAAACCGGUGACUGGGGCUAAGUCGUAACAAGGUACC